rnacentral:rRNA from 1 species
AGUUCGAUUCUGGCUCCAGAUUGAACGCUGGCGGGAUGCUUUACAUGCAAGUCGGACGGCAGCACGGACUUCGGUCUGGUGGCAGUGGCGAACGGGUAGAGUAAUGUAUCGGAACGUGCCUAGUAGCGGGGAUGACUACGCGAAAGCGUAGCUAAUACCGCAUACACCCUUCGAGAGGCGGACCUUCGGGCCUCGCACUAAUGGAAACAGCCAUUAUCGGAUCAGCUAGUUGGUGGGGUAACGACUCGCAAGGCGACGAUCGUAGCUGGUUUGAAGAGGACGAUGACCACACUGGGACUGAGACACGGCUUGAACUCCACCACGAGGCAGCAGUGAGGAAUUUUUGGACAAUGGGGAAGCCCUGAUCCAGCCAUCGCGUGUGCGAUGAAGGCCUUCCGGGUUGUAAACACUUUUGGCAGGAAAAAACGGCGCAGUUAAUGCCCCGAUACAGCUGACAGUACCUGCAGAAUAAGUACCGGCUAACUACGUGCCAGCAGCCGCGGUAGUACGUAAGUGCAAGCGUUAAUCGGAAUUACUGGGCAGAGGCGUGCAGGCGGUUCGGAAAAGAAAGAUGUGAAAUCCCAGAGCUUAACUUUGGAACUGCAUUUUUAACUACCGAGCUAGAGUGUCAGAGAGGUGGAAUUCCGCGUGUAGCAGUGGAAGUGGUAGGACGUAUGCGAGACACCAUUGGCGGAAGGCGGCCUCCUGGGAUAACAACGCUCAUGCACGAAAGCGUGGGGAGCAAGCAGGAUUAAGAUACCUGGUAGUCCGCCUAAACGCGUGUCAAUAGCUGUUGGGGCCUUCGGGCCUUGGUAGCGCAACAACGCGUGAAGUUGACCGCCUGGAAGUACGGUCGCAAGAUUAAAACUCAAAGGAAUUGACGGGGACCCGCACAAGCGAUGGAUGAUGUGGUUAAUUCGGUUUGACACGAAAACCUUACCUACCCUUGACAUGUCUGGAAUCCCGAAGAGAUUUGGGAGUGCUCGCAAGAGAACCGGAACACAGGUGCUGCGUGGCUGUCGUCAGCUCGUGUCGUGAGAUGUUGGGUUAAGUCCGCAACGAGCGCAACCCUUGUCAUUAGUUGCUACGAAGAGGCACUCUAAUGAGACUGCCGGUGACAAACCGGAGGAAGGUGGGGAUGACGUCAAGUCCUCAUGGCCCUUAUGGGUAGGGCUUCACACGUCAUACAAUGGUCGGGACAGAGGGUCGCCAACCCGCGAGAGGGCUGCCGUCAGGGAAACCCGAUCGUAGUCGGAUCGCAGUCUGCAACUCGACUGCGUGAAGUCGGAAUCACUAGUAAUCGCGGAUAUGUCGCGGUGAAUACGUUCCCGGGUCGCAUACCCGCACCGCCCGGAAAAUAACACCAUGGGAGUGGGUUUUACCAGAAGUAGUUAGCCUAACCGUAAGGAGGGCGAUUCACGAAAGUAGGAUUCAUGACUGGGGUGAAGUCGUAACAAGGU